AGCCCUGUGCAGGAAAGGCCCAGAGGCAAAUACAAAGCCACCAACCCAAAUGCCUGUGGAGUUUGCCAGAAAGCCAGAUCCUGCUGCUUCUGCUGCUUGUUACUGCUAAUGAAAAACAAAAUCUUACACAGCUUCAAAUGUAGGUUCUUUGAGUGCUAAUCAAACAGCGAGAAGGCAACAGACAACCAGGGAGGAGGUGGCUGCGCGAAAGUAUGCCACAAAGUAUGGAAUUACUGCAAUUAGGCCUUUCGGCAGUCAACGUGUCCGAACCUUUUGUGUGCUCUCCGUUUUUUCACACCAAAGGAACUAGAUGCAAAGAUUAAAAAGUGACACAAACACAAACGAUCGUCAGACUUAGAGCCUGAAAUACUCCGAAUGUUCUUAUCUGUGUAUUUUACUUCUUCCCAUCAGCCAUCAGGUUUGGCCAGUGACAACUGGAGGCAAAUCAAGAAGAAUUUAUCACUUGGAAUCAUGGCCACAAGUCUCAUUAAAAAAAUUGCAGGGAGAACAAUUAAAUGGCAUGUUCGAAUUCUUUGGACUUGGCAUUGGUAAAUCUAAAGGCUAAGCAUAUGCAUUAUGUAAAUCUAUUGCUUUUUUUUAAGUCAAAUUUGUAAUGUGUGUUAUAUUUCAAAAUAAACUGUUUUAAUUUGUAUUAAACAACAAAUGCAGGGGGAAAAUGAUAUACUUAUUUAUCAUCAAUGUAAAAUAUAACUGACCAAAAUUCUGCUGAUAAAUUAUGCUGGUAACAGCAUUCUGAAGAAACAGAUUUAUUAUUUAGACAUUAUAUCGAAGUGCAGGAGUCAAUCAAGUAAUUAUGUAUUAAAUAUAUAUCGUGUAGUUGCUAUCAUUAAAGAGGUAUGGAUAGAUAAAACGUUAUAUUAACAGUUUUCCACAAAUAGUAACUGAGUAAAAAAAUUGUCAGAUUAACACUUGUUUUAUUUUUUAUCAAUUAGCUAAGCCUUUGAUUUGAAUUCUCCACCCUCUGGCGUCAAGGAAAUGCCUUUUCUUUCUUUUUCUUUAAACAAAGGAUUAUUCUUCCUCAAAAGGGGUUUGUCUAGUUCUUUUAUUGUUUUAUGUCACACAAGGGAAAAAUGCUUUUGAGGCAUCACUACUGAAUUUAGCAGGGAUGAGAGUUUACUGCUAUAUAAUCAUUAGUCAAUGCAGUAGCUGAAACCUUAAACAAAAGAAAACAAACUACAAACAGGCAAGCAUCCCCUGAAGGCACAUCAGAACACCAGAGAGGGGCGGCAUGGAUUUCAAACAAGGUUGCCCAAGCAUGUGCUAAAUAUUGCUGCUCUUGACUUUAAACUGCACACCAAGGAAUACAGUUUCACCUCUAUACUGAAACAAUACUAAGAAGCACGGGAACAG
rnacentral:lncRNA from 1 species